rnacentral:snRNA from 1 species
UCUAAGUAAAGACAUAUUUUA